rnacentral:rRNA from 1 species
CACGCCGUAAACGAUGAGUGCUAGGUGUUGGGGAGGAAUCCUCGGUGCCGCAGCAAACGCAAUAAGCACUCCACCUGGGGAGUACGACCGCAAGGUUGAAACUCAAAGGAAUUGACGGGGGCCCGCACAAGCGGUGGAGCAUGUGGUUUAAUUCGAAGCAACGCGAAGAACCUUACCAAGGCUUGACAUACUGCUGACCGGUGUAGAGAUACACCUUCUCUUCGGAGCAGCAGAUACAGGUGG